rnacentral:tRNA from 1 species
GGGAGCUUGGCUCAGUUGGAAGAGCGCAGGUCUCAUACCAACCAUUGGUGUGAUCGAAUUAAACAUUCGAGUAAUCCUGAGGUCGUGAGUUCGAGCCUCACAGUUCCCA